AAUGAACGUUGGCGGCGUGGAUUAGGCAUGCAAGUCGAGCGAGAACCCCGCAAGGGGGGACAGCGGCAAACGGGGUAGUAAUGUGUCGGAACGUGCCCAGAGGACGGGGAUAGCGGCGGGAAACUGCCGGUAAUACCCGAUGAUCUCGAGAGAGCAAAGGUGUGAUUCCGCCUUCGGAGCGGCCGACAUGGUAUUAGCUAGUUGGCGGGGUAACGGCCCACCAAGGCUGUGAUGCCUAGGGGAUGUGAGAGCAUGAUCCCCACCAUUGGGACUGAGACACUGCCCAGACACCUACGGGUGGCUGCAGUCGAGAAUCUUCGUCAAUGGGCGAAAGCCUGAACGAGCGACGCCGCGUGUGGGAUGAAGGCCUUUGGGUUGUAAACCACUGUCGAGGGGGAUGAAGGCAUUCAGGUUCUCCUGAAUGUUUGACAGAGCCCUGGAGGAAGCACGGGCUAAGUUCGUGCCAGCCGCCGCGGUAAGAC
rnacentral:rRNA from 1 species